CUAGGUGGAAAUUCAAAGAAAAAGUGAAGAAAUCAAGGAAACUAGCUAGGUAAGUUAGAAUUUCUUUAAUUCUCCUUGAUACCUAGCUUACCCAUGCUUUUGUUCUUGAUUUCAUGGUUGAAUAUUGAGUUAUCAUGAUGAAUUCAAUUUUGAAAAAUGGGUAUGGAAGAGGAAUUGUUGUUGGAAUAAUUUGAUUUUAGACUAUGUUAGUGUUUAGGGAUAGUUAAGCAUGGUUAUGAAAUAAAACACAAAAGAAAUAUUCAAUUUCUCUAGGGUUCCUUCUUGGUCGAACCAUGAGGGCUGAAUAUGAAUGGGAGAUUGUUUUUAUUUCAAGGAAAAUGACUUGAAAAAUGAUGAAUUAAGGUGAAACGGUUAUGUAGAAAAAAUUUCAGUGCUAGUGCACCAAAUGACCGAAUUUUUCUAUAAGGAACUGUGAGGUUCUAAUGCUGAAUUUGGCUUUAUUUAAAUUGUAUGUAGUAAAUUAAGGUAUUAGAGGAGAAAUGGAUUAAUUUGGAGGUGAUUUGGACACAAUCGUUAAUUAAUCGGGUGAUGGGUCUAAUUUAAUCGAUACCGCGAUUAAGCAGUAAUCAGAUGUAUUUUUGCAUUUACAUAUCAAGCAUUAGUAAUUUAAAUUAGUUUAUAUCAAUUUAGGGACAAUAUAUUAAAUUCCUCGACUUUGUUAUUUGUCUAGGUAGUGAGACGUCCGGAAAAGGCAAAAGAAUUGUGCUUGAGGACUAUUAGUCCGAGUGCACCCGGAAUCCAGAUUUUUGACACCUAUGAGUGAAUUUGCAUUUCAAAAUUUAUUUAGGAAUUCUAAUUAAGUUAAAAUGAAAUGCGUGAAUGAUUAUAUCUAAUUCCCAUUUAAAAAUGAAUCUCGGGCACAAGCCUUUAGUGAAAAUAUUUCUGUGAUAUUAAAUAUGAUUGUGAUACAUCUGUGUAUAUCUGUAUGAUGCCUACAUGUAUUAUUGAGAAAUUGUGUGAAAUUAAGUGUACUGAAUCUGUGUACCCUUGUAUUAUAAUGAUAUGCAUUAUUAAUAAAUUAUGGUGAAAUUAAUGCAACCGUGCAUGUGCGGAGUGGGAAGUGCAAUGCCAGUUGAAUGACAAAGGAUGUGAUAAUUAUGACCGUGCAUGUGUGGAGUGGGAAGUGCAAAUGCCGAUUUAAUGAUAAAGGUUGUGAUAAUUACGACUGUGCAUGUGCGGAGUGGGAAGUGCAAAUGCCGGUUUAAUGAUAAAGGUUGUGAUAAUUACUACCGUGCAUGUGUAAAGUGGGGACGGUGAUACGUAGCGCCCACAAUUUCCUAGAAAUUCAAAGGUGUGCAAAAUGGGAUGCUGAGUGACCCCCAUGCCUUAGUGAAUAAUGCACAUGCUUGUAAUGGUGUGCAAAGAGGGAUACUAAGUGAUACCCCUUACCGAGUACUCCGAUAGUUAUUUCUUUGUACCACCAAGAAUAGUGAAGACUUGGCAGUGUAUAUAAUUGCUCAUAUCUUUGUGUAUAUAUGUGUGAUUGUGUGGUAUGUGAAACCCUUAUUAUGUGAGAAUUUGUAAAUAACCGUCAGUUUUACUACUUUGCUAGAAUGAUCGGUGUAAAUUCAAGGAUGUUUAAUCCUUAAAUGCAUAAUAAAUUUCUAGGUUAGAUGAAAAUGGCCUUAUUUUCAACCGGUGCAUCAUGAUUGUCAAAUUUCCUGGUUGAGAUUGCUUGUUCCCUUCUAAUAUUCACUCACUCAGUAUUGUACUCACGUUUUUUAAAAAUUCAUGUUUUCAGAUCAGGUGACUGUUGGACCGUAGAUCGAGGAGUCCUUGUAGUGCAUCUCUUGGGUAUGUGUUUGGCAUUCGAUAGUAAUCCCNGGUAUGUGUCUGGCAUUCGAUAGUAAUCCCUUUUAUUGUAAAUGUCUCCGCUGGAAGUCAUGGGUCCUUUUGUAUUGUGAAUACAAUCUAACAAUGUGAAUAUGUGUAUGCAAUGUAAAUUGCUAAAUACAUGACUGGUAUAGUGCAUGUAUAUUAUUAUCGAUAAUGCCAUUGUGUUUUGGCUAUGUUCACACCCGGGAAAAGGUGUGUGUGUAUGCAUGAUAUGAUAAAUUUGUUAAGCAAAGGUAAAUGAAUAGGCUUGCUUAGGCUUAGUGAGCUAUGCUCAUUGAGCUAAUGUCUCGGUCAUGGCUCAGGAAAUUGGGUUGUGACAGAUGUGAGCAUAAGUAGAAUGAUCAAGAUAGACAAAAUUCAUGAUGAUACUAAGUUGAAGUGGUUAAACUAUUUGAGUUAUAAGAUAAGAAAGACAAUUAGUUAUGAAUACUAAGGAAUUAUGGAACACUAGGAAUAGUGAAUAACUAUGUGUGUGGUGUUAUACAUAUAUGGUAAAGUUAUUACAUAAUAUGGAAAGAUUGUCCUAAGGUAGGAUUUAUUGAUUGUUGACAAGUGUUAAGGGAUGAGAUGAAUUUGAAGUAUUGGCUUGGCCUAUUAGAUGUGAUAAAUACAAGCGAAUAUGAAUGGUUAUGAAAAUUGUGACGUAAGCCCAGAGGAAAACCAAACGGUUGAGGAUGAUCAAUGUAGUAACCUUAAAUGUAGAUGAAUAGCGAUGAUUAAGUAAACUCCAGCAGCCACCGCACCGUAGUGCUAGGAGCACCUCAUGUCUAGGACGCAUGAAUAAGAUGUAAAGGGCAUGAAGUUGAAUUUAAAAGCUGAAUUAUGGUCCUUAGACUUGAUGUUAAGCUUCGUUAAUUAGAGUUUUAAGGUUAUGGAAGAGUAUUUAUAUGGAUGAAUUAGAAAGUUUCUUUAUUGCCUUAUAUAUUGGCAUGUAGGUAAAUAAGACAAGAGAUUACGCCUUGUUAAAGGCUAAGGAAAGAGUGAAAGAAAAGUAAGAUAAAUGAUGGGAGAAAUAUGGAUGUUGCUAUGAUGAACAUAAGAAGCUUAAGGAUAAUCAAUGCAAAUAUACAGAGUUAGUUGUAUGGUCCAAAUUAAGGACAAGGACACUUUGGGAGAUUUGAAAAUAAUGUUUAUUGGAACUGAUGAGGUGGAAUGUCAUGAGCAUACAUUGAAUUGUUAAAGUUAUGAGUGGCUUUAAAGGUAAGUUUAUAAUUGCUUAAGUUUUCAAUUGAAUUCCACCAAAGGAUGUGUUUAAGUGUUUUGGAGGUGUAUUGAAAAGCAUAAGAGAAUAUACUAGUUAACUUGCUAUAAGAGGUUGAAAUGGCAUGGCCAUGAGAGGCUUGUGAGCAACCAAGCAAUGUGUAGGUAAAUGUGCAAGGGAGCUAUGAUUGAUAGAUAAGGGUGGAACCCCAGAAUUACAUUAUGGUAGCUAUGAAAUUAUGCUUGGUAUAACAUGAUGCAAUGUAGAAUUUCAACGAUGGGAUUGUGUUCACUACCUUAGGCAUUGAACCAUAAGUUGUGGGCUUGUAUCAACUUUGUGAACACUUUGGUGAGAUAAUUCGAAGGAGUUCUCACAAGGUGAAAACAUUAAAGCUCAAGGAGAUAAUAGUUAUAUAGCGACAUUGUUGCUUGUGACUGAUACGUCACAUAGUACAAAGGUAUGCUGCAAGUUUAAGAAUGCUUGGAAAUGUUGGUUUGAGGUAAUGAUUAUCAUGCCAAUAUGUAGACUCGAUAAUGUUAUGGUCUUGAUACUCUUGUGGAGGCAGAGCAUACAAUGGUAAAAAGUGCUUCCCUCACAUGUUUCAUUUCAUUUUGAGUAAAUAUCAAGUCAGAGUACCUAAUAAGGGUAAGCAAAGAUUGAACUGUGCCUUGGUAAGAGAAUAAAAGUACAUAACAGAAUUCGUAGAGGUCUACUUAGGAAAAAGAUGAGGACUAAGAUUUCAAGUAACCAUAUAUGAGUAAAGAUUUUGGUAAUGAGCCAUGAUUUAGAGUUAAGAUACAAGAAUAUGAAUUAGGAUUAAGUAAUGUCGAGAUGACAUAAGAAUAUAACAUAUAUGUUGGAAGUACAAAAGACAAUUAAGAAAUAAAGAAGACUCACAAGGAUUGUGGUAUAGCAUAAAUGUAAUGAUUAAGUAAAGAUAAAUUUGAAAGAUCAACAAAAUAGUAAGGCAUACAUGGAUACUGGAGGGUAACUUGAUGAAAAUGAUAAUUAGUGAUUGUGACAUGUUUAUGACAAUGUGGCACAAGGAUGAGCGGUAGGAUGAAGCUUACACAUAUGAUUAGAAAUGAUAAGAAAAGAGUAUAAGCAUGUAAAUUAUGUAAAGUUAUGCACAGGCACAAUGAGAAUCUGUGUGAAUUACAUAAGAACCAAUUUAUGGUAGGAUGUAAAGUAAAUGGUGAUUUAAACAUUCGAAGGGGUAAUCUGGAGUUGAUUAUACCUUAAUUUUCAUAGAUUAAACUUGACCUAUGGGAAUGAAAUGGAAAAGUAAAAAGGGAAGCAUGAGCUCUGAGAAUAUGAUGAUGAACCUUGGUUAUGGAUUGGAAUGAAUAGAGGAAAUUUAGUUCAAAGUAAUUGACGAGGGUUCCUACAUAUAGUGAUGGAUGAUGAUUCUUAAAUGUGUAUGUACAUACAUAUAUAUAUAUAUGGAGAUGAUUAUGUGAUUAAUUAAAGUGAAGAAUUAUUUAUAAUGAUUUAAGUUUUGAAUUUGACAUGUUUAAUGAGUUGUAUAGAUGACACGAUGAUGAGAGUUACCAUUAUAACUUGAGCUAUGCGAAUAAAGGAGAAUUUAGGAGCAAAAGAGAAAGAAAGGAUAUUAAGGAAUUGGAAUCUACAUCGUGGUUGAGCCAUACAAAUGAGUUAAUAUGAUUAACAUGUAAGGAUUAAUAAAGUGUAAUAUCAUAGUUAAGUUAAACUUUCAUGAGGCACUAGUGCCACGGAUGGAGAAUGACGAUAAUAGUACCCUAAUGCGAGUAAUUUGAGGAAUUGAUUCAGAAGAUGAAACUUAACUUUGUUAAUAAUGAUUCAACAUAUGGGGAGCAAUCGGUGGCUAUUCUUGAUAGGCAAGUCAAAAAGCUUCGUUCAAAGGAAGUAGCAUCAGUGAAACCAUUAUGGCAAAACCACACCAGUGAAGAGAUAAUAAGGGAGGCUGAAAAGGAGUUGUGGAUAAGUAUCCACACCUCUUCAAUGCAUAUAGGUGCACUGUUUUAUAGUUCGAUUUAAAUUCAGGGACCGAAUUUCUCUUAGUGGGGAAGAAUGUGAGACCUUGAUUUUCAUAGACUCGUAGCUAGAAGUAGACGCGAUAUCACUAACUACGAGUAAUUUUGUCAUUUCUCAUGGUGAGCUCUUGGAAGUAGCUUUUUAAUGUUAUUAAGGCCUAAGUAGGCCUAAGACAUAAAUGAAUGAUGAAAAUAAGGAUAAAAUGACGAAGGAAAUAUAAAUAAUGAUGUUUCCAAGGUAGGGGUAAAAUGGUCAUUUUUCAUCUCGGGGUCAAAAUUUUAAGUUUUUAAUGAAACCAAGUAUUUCUAGACUAUUAUGGACUUUAUCUUAGUGUGAAAAGAGUAAAAGGAUUGCAUAAAGGAUUGGAGGAAGACAAAGCCAACUUGUUAAGGGCAUUUUCGUAAUUUAAGUAAAGUUUGGAUAAGCUUAGGCUAUAAAUAUCUCAUUUUUCUAGCAGCUUCUUCAUCUUCUUCCUCGCAUGUCACGUUUCUUCAUCUUCCAUCGAAGCCUCCCUUAAAGCCUCCAUAACUCUCUCUUUCUCUAGCUUCAGUUUUCAUGCUUUUAAGCACUUUUUCAUAGAACUUUUUUUUUCUCUUUCACUCUCUCACCUUAAAACCCUCAAAAGUCUUUCCUUAACACUUUCUCUCACUAGUUGGACAUUUUAGAGAGAAAAAAAGAGACUUUCCAUGAUAGCUUGAGUAUUCUUGAGAAGGAAUUUAACUACAAAUCCACCAAGGUGAGUCAUGAAUAAGGAUUGAUUUUAGGUUGUUGAUAAUGGCUAGUAUUUGGAGUUGUGAGUUAUUUUAUUGUUGAGGUUGCUUAUUUAUUUCUAGUGUUACUAGAGUAGAGAGAAUAGAUAGUUAGUCAAAUGGUAAUUGGAAGCUAGUUAGGAAUAACUAGUGGGGCUUGAUUUAAGAAAUAGCUUUUAGAAUUGUAUUUAUGUAAAUUGGGUUGGUUAUGAUGUUGGUGUGUGAUAGGUUCCAACAAGACCUCACAUUUUCUUUUGGAGCAAUAGUCGGAGUUGAAGUCUAGUAAAGAUUCAACAAAUACCAGUGAGUGAACUUGCAUUUCAAAAUUACUUUGGGAAAUGUAAAUGUAUUUGGAUGAAACAUUGGAAUGAUUUUAUCCAACCUUUCUAUAAAAAUGUGUGCCAGGGAGCAAGCCCUUGAUAAAAUGUUUUGAUGUUGUGAAAAUGUUAAAUGUGUAAAAGGAUGAAUCCAUGUGCUCCUAUAUUAUGUUGGUAUGUAUACAUAUGAAUAUAUGUUGUGCAUUGAUAAAUAAUGUUGUGUGAUGAUGUUGAAGUGUGCAAGUAAGGAGUGCACACAUGAUGAUGUUGAAGUGUGAAAGUAAGGAGUGCACACAUGAUGAUGUUAGAGUGUGCGAGUACGGAGUACACACAUGAUGAUGUUAAAGUGUACGAGUACAUAGUGCACACAUGAUGAUGAUAUUGCAUUGAGCUGAGUGUGGCGGGAUGGUAUUCAUGAUGAUGUAUACAUAUAUACAUAUAUAUAUGUUAUCGAAAGUUUAUGAAACUAAUUGUGAUUGUGUUGUACGUUGGCGGUGUUAAUUGGUCCCAAAUUGCUUUUUAUUUCAACAAGAAAAUGGUUUUUGAUAUAACAAGACCCCUUUUAACCAAAAUGCUCUAUUUCUCACUACAGCGAGAUUCAUUUUUGCUGUAGUGAGAAACUCUCGGGUUGGGGGGGGUCACACUGGCCUGGUUCUCGCUGUAACGAGAUUUAUUCUCGCUGUAGCAAGAUUUAUUCUCGCUGCAGUGAGAAACUCUCGAGUGGUUCCAAAUUUUCUAGUAUAGAGCCUUCACUUUGACAUAGAUUUUGACCAUUUUUUGGUUAGAACUAGGAAAGGUGAUAAACGUAAAACUUGUAGCUCAGCCUCUUAGCUUUCUAAUGGUCUAAACAUCAUGUCAAUUGGACUUCUUUAGUGGGAGAUAUUUUCAAAAAACCGAAACAUAUACAAACUAAGAAUGUUUCUCGUUGUAGCGAGAAACUUGCUGUCGUGCUUGCUACCUUGCUUGAUUUUGACAUAUUUUUCACCCAUUUAACUUCAUGGAUUGAUCAUGGGUUUUUGGAACACUAUGAAGUUAUUAAUCAAGUUUGAAAUGAGAGGUUUUUAGUAAGAAAUUAAAUCAAUUGCAUCGUUUUUGAAACACGUGCAUCAUGAUUUCCAAGUUCUCCUCAUCGAUUGCUUGUUUCCUUCUUAUGUACACUCACUAAGUUUUAUACUCACGUUUAUUUAAACUUCAAGUUUUCAGAUUCAGAGGCAGUUGAGACCUAGAUUGAGUUGUCCACGUAUGCUCGCUUUCUUGGUAGGUACUAUAGCAUCUCAGUAGUUAUACCUUCACCUACGGUCACUCCGUUGAUGGUCAAUAGUUUUUUUAUUUUACUUGUGAACAUGUAUAAGUAAUGUAAUCCAUUAGGAUUCAUGUUAUAAGUCAAAUAUGUAUAUUUUGGAUUAAUGAUGCCAUUAUAAGCUGGC
rnacentral:lncRNA from 1 species